rnacentral:lncRNA from 1 species
GGUUGUAUGUUUAUGACGCCAUGUUGGCGACCUAUAUGCUUUAUAGUGACUUAUAUACUUUAUAGAGGGCGAGCUUUAUUGCCCAAGUCGAGAUUAGAGCAAUGUAGCCUGGAAGGCUGGUUGUGGGGGGACAUCCUGGGGUAUUGGUCGUGACCGCCAAUCGAAGGGUUAUCUCUAUAACAAGUCAUCCAAGGGCGGCAUAUGUUCAUUAAGACUUGAG